rnacentral:rRNA from 1 species
GACGAACGCUGGCGGCGUGCUUAACACAUGCAAGUCGAACGGAAAGGCCCCUUUGGGGGUACUCGAGUGGCGAACGGGUGAGUAACACGUGAGUAACCUGCCCUUGACUUCGGGAUAACUUCAGGAAACUGGGGCUAAUACCGGAUAGGAAUCCUUGCUGCAUGGUGGGGGUUGGAAAGCUUCGGCGGUUUUGGAUGGACUCGCGGCUUAUCAGCUUGUUGGUGGGGUAGUGGCUUACCAAGGCUUUGACGGGUAGCCGGCCUGAGAGGGCGACCGGCCACAUUGGGACUGAGAUACGGCCCAGACUCCUACGGGAGGCAGCAGUGGGGAAUAUUGCAAAUGGGCGGAAGCCUGAUGCAGCAACGCCGCGGGCGGGAUGACGGCCUUCGGGUUGUAAACCGCUUUCAGCAGGGGCGAAGCUUGUGGUGACGGUACCUGCAGAAGAAGCACCGGCUAACUACAUG